rnacentral:misc_RNA from 1 species
AAGACUAUAGACCUGCGGAGUACCUGCGGAGGGAUCAUUACUGAGUGAGGGCCCUCUGGGUCCAACCUCCCACCCGUGUUUAACGAACCUUGUUGCCUCGGCGGGCCCGCCUCACGGCCGCCGGGGGGCAUCCGCCCCCGGGCCCGCGCCCGCCGAAGACACCUGUGAACUCUGUCUGAAGUUGCAGUCUGAGAAACUAUUUAAAUUAGUUAAAACUUUUAGCAACGGAUCUCUAGAUCG